rnacentral:antisense_RNA from 1 species
ACUGUCCUCCUGUCUUCUGUGGCAUCCUUUGCCUUGCAGCCACAGCCCAGCUAGCCCAGGCCAAGGGAGUCUGACCCCCACCCCGAAGCACAGGGAAGUUGCUGCCCUUUCCCGCAGUGACAGAAAUCCUCUCAAGGGCUCUGGAAGGCAAGGAUGCGGCCAUCCCUGGAGACGCCAAGGACCAUCAUGUGAGGUGGCUUUUAUCCUCCUCGCCCCUACUGGUACAGAUGAGAAGAAACUGCGACUCAGAAGUUAAGCAUUUUCCCAUGGUCACCGGGCUACACAGAAAGGCCAGGAUUUGAACCCAAGCUUCUGCUUCCACCCAUCUUCAUUAGGAGUCAAGUUAUACUGUGGGUCUCAACCAUGGCUGCUCACUGGAAUCACCUGGAAGCUUCCCAAGUACUGAUGUCUGUGUCCCCAGCCCAGAGGUUCUGAUAUCAUUGUCUGGGUGUGGCCUAGCCUUAGAUCUGCAAAAGCUCCCUAGGCAGUUCCACUGCAUGAAGUUGAGAACCACUGAUACAGAGUGACCUCACCUCCCCACCCCCAAUGGAGGUGCUAUGGUUUGAAGAGCAAAACUCAUGUUGAAAUUUGACUGUUCUUGCACCUCCUGCAGAGCCUGGGAGCUCCCAGUCCAGCCAAGGAUGUUGGAUCUCAUGGUCCUAAGUACUUCUUUGACACCCCAUUCCCCUCAGUAAAAUAGUUUGACCCCUUCUCCGCCAAAAAAAAAAAAAAGAAAUGUAAUUGCCAUGAUGAUGGUAUUAAAAGGUGGGACCUUUAAGAGGUGAUUAGGUUAUGAGGGUUCAGCCCUCAUGAAUGGAUUAAUGCCGUUAUCUUGGGAGUGGAUGAGUUCUCCCAGGA